CAUCAUAUCAGAAUAUUCCAUCUGUUUAUGACUUAUCAGGGUGCUGUGGGAUGAAUUUAAUUUAGUUUUCACUGACUCGCGCAGGUAUUUGUUUAUGUUACGUAGUUGAAAUUUUGUGAUCCAGAAUCCUGGCAUUUGUGUUCAGUGGCCAUCUUGUUAUCAAUGACAACUGUUAUUCUGCUAAUUGAAGAGGUUUUUCGAACAAAAAUAAGUAUAUCGCUGAUGGAUAUCUGUAUGAAGUUGGAACCGAAGUCUACAAUUCUCACUGAUAUAAGGGAAUGAAAAGAACGAGUUUGUAUAGAAGUAAUAGCUGAUGGAUAUUUGCAUUGUAAGUUUGAACAGAAGUCUAGAAUUCUUACUGAUCACAAAUAUAUGAUAAUUAAAUAAGGUAAAGUGAAGUAUUGAAUCAUCUGUCUGGACAUAGAGAAAUGAGCAUAUUAAUGAAUAGAAUAAUGGACAAGAUUUAUUAUGUUAAGAAGUAAUGAUUGAUGGAUUUCUACAUUAUGAGUUGGAAUAGAAGUCUAGAAUUCUUACUGUUCACGAAUAUAAGAAAAUGAAAAGGGGAAACUUGAAAUCAUAAAUAUCCUUCUCAUUACAAAAUUCGAAAAGUUAAAUACCUUAUCGAGUGGACAGGACAGUGAGCUGGACGAUGGAUAGAACAGUUAAUAGGAGAGAAAAUGUUUAAAAUUCCAAUAUUAGAUACUAAAGGUGCUUUGACUUUUUUAUAGAAGAAGUAGGUAAGGGAAGGACCAUACAAGGUAAGAAACUAAGACUUCUAAACAUAUCUUAUAGUGGGUUUCAUAAAACUUUCAUUGUGGUGAUUUACUCGAUCAAAUCAUUUCUGUGUUCAAUUUCAGUUCAUUGUUGACACUUCCAUAGAUUCCAAACUACAGUCAACGAAUUGAUCGGUCAAUCAAAUUUCUAUAGAACCCGUUUUUAGUUAUUGGUUUCUUUUCUGAAACUAUCAAUUGUGUCAAUCGUGUAAAUCGGACAAAAUUUUGUUUUCAUGUGAAUUUCAAAACUGCAUAGGAAUCAAAUUGCGAUGAAACUAUGCAAUACAAUUUCAAAAAUUAUGAAUAAUUUCAUGUUCAUCGCUUAACCAUAACCAUAGAAAAUCCAGAAAGAUAUCUAAAAAACUUGCCAAAAUUUUCGUGGUCACUGAAUCGAUCAAGUUGAGAUUUUUGAUGUUGAUAUGAGAGAACAUUCUUAAGCUACAUGCGGAAUCUCAAUAUGAUCAUAUCAUUUGAACUAUAAAACAUCAUAGAAAAAUAUUAGAAAAAAAAACCGUAUUUCCUCAAAAAUAUGAUCUAGUUGAAGAAGGCUGCAAAAGCUAGAUGAAAAUCAGUAGUCUUAAAUUUUUCCUUGCCAAGCUUGUAAGAGUGGCCUCGUAAAUGAUUUUGAUUUCUCUUGAAAUCAAAUGCCAUCAGUUUCAUCUCUUUCCGUAUGUCAACUAGGUCGGUUUUAAAAAUCCAUCAUAUUUUCAAUAAAUUGUACUCUCGAAAAAUGUGUUUAUAUCGUUUUUCACUUCUUAUCUGACGAAAUGACUAAACUUGUUUUCAUCUUCGCUCGACCGCUGCAUAUGUUUUUAUCUGAGAAAUAACUCGAUUUUCAUUUAGCGGGCUGUUCGUGAAGAUGAACGUCAAUAAUUUGCG